GACGAACCGUGCGAACGUUGUUCGGAUUCACUGGGCUUAAAGGGCGCGUAGGCGGGCUGUCAAGUCGGGGGUGAAAUCCCACAGCUUAACUGUGGAAGUGCCUCCGAUACUGGGAGCCUUGAGGGAGGUAGGGGUGUGUGGAACUUCCGGUGGAGCGGUGAAAUGCGUAGAUAUCGGAAGGAACGCCGGUGGCGAAAGCGACGCACUGGACCUCUUCUGACGCUGAGGCGCGAAAGCUAGGGGAGCAAACGGG
rnacentral:rRNA from 1 species